UCCUGCCAGUAGUCAUAUGCUUGUCUCAAAGAUUAAGCCAUGCAUGUCUAAGUAUAAGUAAAUUUUACGGCGAAACUGCGAAUGGCUCAUUAUAUCAGUUAUAGUUUACUUGAUAGUCAAUUAUUACAUGGAUAACUGUGGUAAUUCUAGAGCUAAUACAUGCCAAGGUUUCACCUUCGGGGGGACCAAGUAUUUAUUCGCCUCGGCCGACGACGUCCCUCAGGGGACAGGGUGCGGAGUCAUGAUAACUUCACGGAUCGCCGUCAUUAGGAUGGCGAUGUAUCAUUCAAAUUUCUGCCCUAUCAACUAGUUGGUAGGAUAGAGGCCUACCAAGGUAUUGACGGGUAACGGGGAAUUAGGGUUCGAUUCCGGAGAGGGAGCCUGAGAAACGGCUACCACAUCCAAGGAGGGCAGCAGGCGCGCAAAUUACCCAAUCCUGACGCAGGGAGGUAGUGACAAUAAAUAUCAAUUCCGGACCUAAGGGUUCGGGAUGUGGAAUGAGUGGAAAGUAAAAAACUCUACUAAAGCAAUUGGAGGGCAAGCCUGGUGCCAGCAGCCGCGGUAAUUCCAGCUCCAAUAGCGUAUAUUAAAGUUGUUGCAGUUAAAACGCUCGUAGUCGGACUUGGGCGCGGGGACGGAUGGUCUCUGCCUUCAGGGGCGGAGGACUGGCUGGCCCCGGGUCUUUUCCGCCCGGAGCGCAGGCCCCUUAAUUGGGAGGUUGCGUGGGACGGGGGGAGAUUACUGUGAGGAAAUUAGAGUGCUCAAAGCAGGCAGGCGCCGGGAUAGAUUAGCAUGGAAUAAUAGAAUAGGACUUGAUCCUGUUUUGUUGGGUCAGCAGGGACGAGUAAUGAUUAAUAGGAGCAGUUGGGGGCGUUAGUAUUCCGUUGCCAGAGGUGAAAUUCUUAGACUUACGGAGGACUAACUAAUGCGAAAGCAUUCGCCAAGGAUGUUUUCAUUGAUCAAGAACGAAAGUUAAGGGAUCGAAGAUGAUUAGAGACCGUCCUAGUCUUAACCGUAAACUAUGCCGACUAGAGAUCGGAGGCUAUCAAAAGGUGUGGUCUUCGGGAUCUUCCGAGAAAUCAAAGUUUUUGGGUUCUGGGGGGAGUAUGGUCGCAAGGCUGAAACUUAAAGGAAUUGACGGAAGGGCACCACCAGGAGUGGAGCCUGCGGCUUAAUUUGACUCAACACGGGGAAACUCACCAGGUCCGGACAUAGGUACGAAUGACAGAUUGACAGUUCUUUCAUGAUUCUAUGGGUGGUGGUGCAUGGCCGUUCUUAGUUGGUGGAGUGAUUUGUCUGGUUAAUUCCGAUAACGAACGAGACCUUGGCCUAUAACUAGUGUGCCUGCCAGACAGCUGCCGGUGCAUACUUCUUAUAGGGACGACGGGCGUUAUCCUUUUAGCCCGUGGAGGAUCGAGGCAAUAACAGGUCUGUGAUGCCCUUAGAUGUUCUGGGCUGCACGCGCGCUACAAUGGCACACGCAACGGGCAACGGAGCUCGAGAGGGCCCACCGCAAUCCCACAAAGUGUGCCGUGCUGGGGAUAGUCCACUGCAAUUAUUGGACUUGAACGAGGAAUUCCUAGUAAGCGUGAGUCAUCAGCUCGCGUUGAUUACGUCCCUGCCCUUUGUACACACCGCCCGUCGCUACUACCGAUGAACGGCUAAGUGAGGCCUCCGGAUGGCGGGCCGCGGCGGGGGCGACCCCGGGCGGCAGCGAGAAGCUGGACGAACUUGGCCGUUUAGAGGAAGUAAAAGUCGUAACAAGGUAACUGUAGGUGAAC
rnacentral:rRNA from 1 species